UAUGUACUCCCUCCGUUCCGAAUUACUUGUCGCAUGUAUGGAUGUAUUUAGAUGUAUUUUAAUUCUAGAUACAUCCAUUCCAGCGACGAGUAAUUUGGAACGGAGGGAGUAAUAA
rfam:Triticum aestivum genome assembly, contig: Triticum_aestivum_CS42_TGACv1_scaffold_406491_5BL